UUUGUGUGACUACUAUGGACAUGGGCGGUGUCGGUAUUGGUGUCAUCCUUGGUAUUGGUAUUGGCAUUGGGGUUGACACCGGUUGGAUGUUUGGUUAGUUAUGGUUAUGAGUUUUUAUUAAUGUCUUUGAUUUAUUAUUGUUCUAUCUUGUUAUAUGUUUGGAAUUCAUAUGGCAUAGGUUGCAGGGUGGUUAUGGUUGGGUAUUGGGGGUGGUCUCCGGUCCCG
rnacentral:lncRNA from 1 species